UACGUAGGGGGCAAGCGUUGUCCGGAUUUAUUGGGCGUAAAGAGCGUGUAGGCGGUUUGGUAGGUCUGCUGUGAAAACUCGAGGCUCAACCUCGAGACGCCGGCGGAAACCCCCAGCUAGAGUCCGGAAGAGGAGAGUGGAAUUCCUGGUGUAGCGGUGAAAUGCGCAGAUAUCGGGAGGAACACCAGUAGCGAAGGCGGCACUCUGGGCCGGUACUGACGCUGAGGAGCGAAAGCGUGGGGAGCGAACAGG
rnacentral:rRNA from 1 species